GAGUUUGAUCCUGGCUCAGAUUGAACGCUGGCGGCAGGCCUAACACAUGCAAGUCGAGCGUGAAAGGGCUUCGGCCUGAGUAAAGCGGCGGACGGGUGAGUAACGCGUAGGAAUCUACCUAGUAGUGGGGGAUAACGUUCCGAAAGGAACGCUAAUACCGCAUACGUUCUGAGGAAGAAAGCAGGGGAUCGCAAGACCUUGCGCUAUUAGAUGAGCCUGCGUCCGAUUAGCUAGUUGGUGGGGUAAAGGCCUACCAAGGCGACGAUCGGUAACUGGUCUGAGAGGAUGAUCAGUCACACUGGAACUGAGACACGGUCCAGACUCCUACGGGAGGCAGCAGUGGGGAAUAUUGGACAAUGGGGGCAACCCUGAUCCAGCCAUGCCGCGUGUGUGAAGAAGGCCUUCGGUUGU
rnacentral:rRNA from 1 species